UACGAAGGGGGCUAGCGUUGCUCGGAAUCACUGGGCGUAAAGCGCACGUAGGCGGGUCUUUAAGUCAGGGGUGAAAUCCCGGAGCUCAACUCCGGAACUGCCUUUGAUACUGGAGAUCUUGAGUCCGGGAGAGGUGAGUGGAACUCCGAGUGUAGAGGUGAAAUUCGUAGAUAUUCGGAAGAACACCAGUGGCGAAGGCGGCUUACUGGUCCGGUUCUGACGCUGAGGCGCGAAAGCGUGGGGAGCAAACAGG
rnacentral:rRNA from 1 species